rnacentral:misc_RNA from 1 species
CGAGCGUCACACCACCC